rnacentral:rRNA from 1 species
UACGUAGGUGGCAAGCGUUAUCCGGAAUUAUUGGGCGUAAAGAGGGAGCAGGCGGCAGCAAAGGUCUGUGGUGAAAGACUGAAGCUGAACUUCAGUAAGCCAUAGAAACCGGGCAGCUAGAGUGCAGGAGAGGAUCGUGGAAUUCCAUGUGUAGCGGUGAAAUGCGUAGAUAUAUGGAGGAACACCAGUGGCGAAGGCGACGAUCUGGCCUGCAACUGACGCUCAGUCCCGAAAGCGUGGGGAGCAAAUAGG